rnacentral:rRNA from 1 species
AUUGAACGCUGGGCGGCAUAGCCUUACACAUGCAAGUCGAACGGCAGCACGGGAGCAAUCCUGGUGGCGAGUGGCGAACGGGUGAGUAAUACAUCGGAACGUGCCCAGUAGUGGGGGAUAACCCGGCGAAAGCCGGACGUAAUACCGCAUACGACCUACGGGUGAAAGCGGGGGAUCGCAAGACCUCGCGCUAUCGGAGCGGCCGAUGUCAGAUUAGCUAGUUGGUGGGGAAAGCCUACCAAGGCGACGAUCUGUAGCUGGUCUGAGAGGA